UACGUAGGGGGCAAGCGUUGUCCGGAUUUAUUGGGCGUAAAGAGCGUGUAGGCGGUUAUGCAGGUCCGCUGUGAAAACUGGAGGCUUAACCUCCAGACGUCGGUGGAAACCGUAUAACUAGAGGCCGGAAGAGGAGAGUGGAAUUCCUGGUGUAGCGGUGAAAUGCGCAGAUAUCAGGAAGAACACCCGUGGCGAAGGCGGCUCUCUGGGACGGUACUGACGCUGAUGCGCGAAAGCCAGGGGAGCGAACGGG
rnacentral:rRNA from 1 species